UGACCUAAAUGUCCAUUAAAAAUACAUGAUAUUAUAUUUGUAAAAUGUCAUGAAAAUUAAAAUUGUGGUACAUAGUAUAAAUGAUGGAAGUUUGGGGCAUAAAAAUGAAAAUUGAGAAAGUUUGAAUAAUUAAACAUUAAAAUAAAUUAAGUGCUCCACUAAGGCAGCUUGAACCACCUAUAAAAGACACUUUGGACAGCUGAACAUCAUCUUCAACCUCCAGCAAAUGAACCAGCCGAAUGCAACCCAAAGAAAACUCCAUGGCCAUUCAUGCAUGAAGCUCCAAUCCUCCAUGAUCAAGCCCUAGUUUAUUCAAGAGUCCUUCACUAAAGUUGUUCUAUACAACUUGGGCAGUAGAUAGGCAGCAA
rnacentral:misc_RNA from 1 species